UACGGAGGGGGCUAGCGUUGUUCGGAAUUACUGGGCGUAAAGCGCACGUAGGCGGCUUUGUAAGUUAGAGGUGAAAGCCCGGGGCUCAACCCCGGAAUUGCCUUUAAGACUGCAUCGCUAGAAUUGUGGAGAGGUAAGUGGAAUUCCGAGUGUAGAGGUGAAAUGCGUAGAUAUCUGGAGGAACACCGGUGGCGAAGGCGGGUCUCUGGGCAAUUCCUGACGCUGAGGCGCGAAAGCGUGGGGAGCAAACGGG
rnacentral:rRNA from 1 species